rnacentral:lncRNA from 1 species
CCAUGCUAUAAUAUAACUUGAUCAGCUGCUAACUGAGCAUAGUCUCGUCCCUCACUAUUGAUCAUGGCUGACCUUAAGCCUACCUACAAAUCAAUAUACAAAACAACUAUUUUUGGGCAUAUUAGCAUAUAUAUCAUAACCUUAUCCAUAUUAGUUACAUUGCACUCAUACUAACAUCCAUAAAUAUGUUUAAACCAAUUUCUACUUGAAUGAUGCAAAUCUACUUCAGCUCUUAACUUGUUGAUGCUCGUUUCUCUGAAUCUCAGUGCAUGCGGUAGUGUGCUUUGGUUAGGCUUAGGAGGGAUCAGGAACUCGGCUCAUAUAUCUGAUAAAAUUUUUUACUCCUUCAUGAUCAAGAGGAUGUUCCCUUAUUGUU